UACGUAGGGUGCGAGCGUUAAUCGGAAUUACUGGGCGUAAAGCGUGCGCAGGCGGUUUUGUAAGCCAGAUGUGAAAUCCCCGGGCUUAACCUGGGAAUGGCAUUUGGGACUGCAAGGCUUGAGUGCGGCAGAGGAGACUGGAAUUCCUGGUGUAGCAGUGAAAUGCGUAGAUAUCAGGAGGAACACCGAUGGCGAAGGCAGGUCUCUGGGCUGACACUGACGCUCAUGCACGAAAGCGUGGGAGCGAACAAACGG
rnacentral:rRNA from 1 species